GCGGGGGUGCCCGAGCUGGUCAAAGGGGGCGGACUCAAGAUCCGCUGGCGUAGGCCUGCGUGGGUUCGAAGCCCACCCCCCGCA
rnacentral:tRNA from 5 species